CAUUGUUAAAUAUGGAUAUACAGGUAGUUAUGAAAAUUUGCCCGGAUCUGCGAACACGCGCCAAACUGCGCUUUAUUACCUUCUGAUAAAGCCAGAGCUACGCAUCGUUAGGCACGCAAGCAAUAAACGAUGCGCAUGCGCAGUGCCAUGUCUCGACACCAGGCGAUGGUUUGGGAAGAGGGUUUAGUGAUGUGCCUUUGGCCCACAAUCGCAGAUUGCGAGAAGUAUUACCACCCCUGCGCGUUCCUGUCCUGGGAAAUAACCGGUUUCACUGACCGUACAAGACUGGCUACAAUGGCCGGAAAAGAAACAGCUGGACCCCACUUUACGAUGCGUAGUGGCAGUUGCAACGUGGACCAGGGUGCAAGCAGUGCAGCCACUGAUCUAAACCAUGGCAGGGUUCCCAGAGAAACCAGGGAAGCAGCGUGGCACAAGCGAGACAACCAGCCUGCCAACAGAAUCCAAGAGUGCCACGUGUGCCGUUUGUGUUCACCGACGCGGAGGCCUUCCAAAAGCACGCCGCUGACCACUCGCUCGGGAAAAACCACAACUGCUCCAAAUGUGGUAAACUGUUUGCGAGCACAAGGAACCUCACGAAGCAUUUACUUUUGCACGGCGAACCAUCCUUUGUGUGCGGCUUGUGCAAAAAAAAAGUUUAAUAGAAAAGAUAACCUCAAGACCCACAUGCUUGCAUGGCACGUUGGUUCACAGGACUGAGAAGCCAUCGAAGGGACCCCUUAAGAGGGCAGCACGCGCCACGAAAUUGGUCGAGCAAGCCGGGAUGCACCGACGCACGUGACGGUGACAUCGGCAUCGCUACAGCCGGAUAUUCGCCCUGGAGGAGUGACUUCUCUGGAUGUCACCCUUGCGCCAAGACCCGUCUUGAGUUUUCGCAGAAUUACUUGCGGUCUGGGCCUCAACUGUUCUAGCUGUGAGCUAACCUUUUGACAAACAAAACUGGGAUAAUCUUAUUCAUUCUGACUACGGCUGAAGAAGGCCUGCAAAUAAACUUUUUACAGUGGUUAUCUCGGAGAA